UACGUAGGGUGCGAGCGUUGUCCGGAAUUAUUGGGCGUAAAGCGCGUGUAGGCGGCUUUGCAAGUCGGGUGUGAAAUCCCUCAGCUCAACUGAGGAAGUGCGCCCGAAACUGCAGAGCUUGAGUACCGGAGAGGAUGGUGGAAUUCCCCAAGUAGAGGUGAAAUUCGUAGAUAUGGGGAGGAACACCGGUGGCGAAGGCGACCAUCUGGACGGAUACUGACGCUGAGACGCGAAAGCGUGGGUAGCAAACAGG
rnacentral:rRNA from 1 species